GCAGAAACAAAACUCUGAUCACACUCUACCGACAACGCUACGUGUUGCUGUGCCAACUCACACUUAAACCCACAAAAGAAGAGGAAACUGAGGAACAAGUGGUGCAGGAAAGCCAACAUACUUCAGCUGACUCAGUGAUUGUAACCCCCCUACUGACAGCUGAUGUCAUUUGCCUGAAGUACAGCAUUCCCAGUGGCUGACUGCACACUAGGACAGGUACCGCAGGAACACAGGCCGGUUUUUUCUUUUUAUCUGUCUUUCCUUGUCCUUCUCACCCCCACCGGCCUCCCUGGGAUCCAU